UUUGCAGCCUGGUAGACUAUUGGAUUAAACCCAACCUGCAUCCACACACAGUACAAAUGGCUCUUUUCUUAUUUAAGCCUCACUACCCUAAAGUAUAGUUUUUCUUAAGUAGACUGCAAAAUCAUAGUUUUCUUGCUGGGAAUCCUACUCUGCUUUUUAAAAAUUAUUAAACAUGUUCUUUUAAUCUGCUUUUGUUCACAUUACUUUGUCAUACUAUAUAAUUUCUGUGACUUUCAUUAUCUGAUUAAUGAACACCAUUAG